ensembl:lncRNA
GCCGCUUCUCCUCGGCCAACACGGGGACAGCGAAACUCGAGAAUUCCCUGAUUGAGCAGCACCACCCACCUCCCACAAGGGAGAAACCCUGGACGAUGGCCCUGCUCUAGGGGCACAGGUGCGACCUCUGAAGGGCAACUACAGCCCGUCUAGUUGGAUGCUGACCCUGGACCUUGCCCUUGGUGUUAGUCCCAGGAUUGGAGGUAAAUGCUCUCUGCCUGCCCAGCCACGGCCACACCCCACAAGACAGUGGUCAGAGGACAAGGAAGGCAGCAACUGCCGCCAGCAGCAGGGGCGAGAGCCGGGCAGGUGGGUGCUGCUGAUCACAGCUAGGGUGUCCGGAAACCAUCCACGGGACAGGGGUGCCCAUGCCAGCCUGCUCCGCCCUCCCGGGCCCUGCAGCGUGGACAGGCUUCCCUCAGACACUCACACAACACCCACACAGAGCAGUGCUCCAUCCCGGCUGUGAUGACGGGAGAGCACGGAAAGCAGGUGAAGAUCUCUCUGUGCUGCCCACUGCCCUGGGCUGUCCUGUGCCAUCGACAGGGUUGUUCCAGGGGAAUAAGCCCCGUGCGAGGCUGUGUCUCCAGGGCUCACAGAGCCCCACUCUGAUUACAUGAUGUAUGGGCAGCCUUGAUGAGGAGGGCGAGAAGGACAUUCCUGGGCCCCUCAUUGAGGGGGUGGGUGUCUCCAUGGGUGUCACCUGUGCCUUGGGGGUGAUCUGAGGAGGCCUAGUGUUUCUCCAGACUGUCCCCAAGUCACCAGGCAACCACGACCAACUCCAUACCCACAGCCAGCAUCCACCCUUGGUCACCUGCGGGUCCCGAGCCUGUCCUGAGAGAAGGCUCCACCCGAGACCCCAUCCGCUCUUCGGCAACAUUCGUCACAGGUCUUGCCUUGUGGCAGGGCCACCUCCAAGUCAGGACAUCACUCUGAGUCCCUGACGAACUGUCAUGUGAGCUGCAGACGUGCCGCGUCCCCCCAGCCAGCUGCCCAGGAUGAGGGCCUGGCUCCCACUUGGGACCUGACCUCACGCCCGACUGACUUUGACUGGUGGGAGUCAACGUGCACUCCAGAUGUGUGCACCCAGACACAGCUCAAACCAGGCUCCAUACACUCAGGUCCUGUCCCCAUGCAGACACUCCGUGCAGACCCGAGCCCUGUCCCCUUGCAGACCCUCCGUGCAGACCCGGGCCCUGUCCCCAUGCAGACCCUCCGUGCAGACCCGGGCCCUGUCCCCUUGCAGACCCUCCGUGCAGACCCGGGCCCUGUCCCCGUGCAGACCCUCCGUGCAGACCCGGGCCCUGUCCCCGUGCGGACCCUCUGUGCAGACCUGGGCACUGUCCCCGUGCAGACCCUCUGUUCAGACCCGGGCCCUGUCCCCAUGCAGACCCUCUGUUCAGACCCGGGCCCUGUCCCCAUGCAGACCCUCCGUGCAGACCUGGGCCCUGUCCCCAUGCAGACCCUCCGUGCAGACCCGGGCCCUGUCCCCUUGCAGACUCUCACUGUAGACCCAGGCCCUGUCCCCGUGCAGACCCGGGCCCUGUCCCCAUGCAGACCCUCCGUGGAGACCCAGGCCCUGUCCCCAUGCAGACCCUCCGUGCAGACCCGGGCCCUGUCCCCAUGCAGACCCUCCGUGCAGACCCGGGCCCUGUCCCCAUGCAGACCCUCCGUGCAGACCCGGGCCCUGUCCCCGUGCAGACCCUCCGUGCAGACCCGGGCCCUGUCCCCAUGCAGACUCUCACUGUAGACCCGGGCCCUGUCCCCGUGCAGACUCUCACUGUAGACCCAGGCCCUGUCCCCGUGCAGACCCUCUGUGCAGACCUGGGCACUGUCCCUGAGCAGACCCUCUGUUUGUCAAUUGGGUCUGGUUUGUCGGGCAGGUCUAACCCUCUGUCUCUGUGGGAGGCCACAUCCCAUGGCGUGGGCACCUUCCCUUCCUUGCCUGUUGGGAAAUGGCGUUUCUGCAAGUUCUAUUUCAGUAGCAGAAUUUCUGAAUCACUGGCACUGAGCCCUCGGGGAGCCUCUAAAAGUGGCACUUCCGAUCCCUCACUCAGUGGUUAGGAGGCAUUUGCUGGGUUCCUCCCUGCCCCCUGCUGUGGAGGCAGGAAUGACUCAUCCUCCUGCUCCGGGAUUGGAAAGAUCUUCUGACCUAACUGGUGAGUCCGAUGCCAAGUCUGGUCUGGUCCCGACCCAGGCGGCUCUGAGAGAGGAAACCCCACAGCAGAUCUGAGUGUAGGAUGGGGUGUCCCGCCUCCCAGGAGGGAUGGAAUCACCUCACCUCUUGCCAGGUAGGAGCGGACCCCUCCCCAUUAGCUGAGGACUGGAAGUGGCUCCAGCGGUGUCUGAGCAGCUGGCCAGUGUCCACAGGAGAUACUCUCGGCCUCCAGGAGCAAUGACCCUCCGCCCAAGACAGGUCCUCCCUGCCCCUCGCUCCAAGACAGUGUCUCAGUGGAUGCUGCAGAAACCACGCCGCCUUCCACCAAAAGCUCAGGGAAAAUUCCCCGGGCCCUGCACAAAACUCACUAUGGUUUCUGGGGUUCCUGCCCCACUCCUUUACUCUCUUGUCAUUUUCAGACAACAGACCUACAACUCCCGGAAAGUCUGGUUAAAGAUGGAGACCCUCCCAGCCCCCAGGCCUCAGCUCACUGUUGAUCCCUGAUUAACCCUUGAGCUCCAACUGAUGCCUGAAAUGACCGCGGGACUCCUUGUCCUCCUGCGGUCAGCCUGCCCGGCUGUCCAGUCCUGGAACUGCCAGAGAGGCUGGGAGGGACUUGAAAUAACUUGCUUCUGUCUGGAGCCAGGGUGGGGUGUGACUUGCCCUGGGGCUCUCCCCCAAGAAGAGCUGAGGUCGGAAUUUGAGUGCAAGUCGUUUAUUUGGGAGGUGGUCCCAGAAGAGCCAGUUGAGGAGGCAGGGAGGGGACAGCAGAACUCAAGAGCCUCGCCCAGCUGUUGGACAGUGUGGGCACAUUCAGGGACCCCGGGAGAGGAAUCUGGGGUAUCAUCCACAUCUGCCACCCAGGAAAGCCCCUGGUGGGGUCUGGGAGAUGCCAGCGGGAGGUGGGACCCAGGCAGCCAUAAGGCAUCUGACAGCCUUCAGGUCAGACGUCCUUCUUUUCCCUUCAGGGCAACAAGAAGAGGCUGUGUGCUGACCAGCCUUCAGAACACGCUAAGAUGCUCUUGCUCGGGAAGUGGCAGGGGCCGAACACUGUUCGAGUGAUGGAAGAACCGAAGGUCCAGGAGACAAUGGGGAGGACCAUCCACACCACAGGGCUGCACGUCGGUGCCGGGUGGUCCCGUCCACCGCCUGACAGCCUCCUUCCACAGUGAGAAAGGGUUUCCCGGCUUCCAGGUCCUGCGGCACCGUGGAUGGUGGACAGAGCCGACUGCCCGCCGGGCCUUCCGAAGCUGCUGCCGACGGCUUAGGUGGUCGGCCUGCACCCAGCUGACAACUAGCCCAAGAGAGGGGGCUGCAUCUCCUGGGUGGGGACUGUGGGGCCUGCACGGGGAGCUCGGCUGGGUCCGUGUGCUGCGACUUCUCAGGGAUAGGGCAGCCUUUCUCGAUUCGGGGACACCGGAUGCAUCUCAGUGCGCAUCUGGGGUUGGCAGCUGCCGCCUUGGAAUUAAGUCAAAGGCAGAAAGCUGAAUCCAAGACAGGGCACGUCUGAAUCCCUGGGAGAGCUCCCUGGAUGCAGGCUCCGAGCGCUCCUGGAAGGCCUGGCUCUGCAGGUUAAGUGGAAGGCCAGGGCACCUGGACCCAGGGGACCACAGACCAUCCUCUGAGAAGCAAAGCAUGGACGGCGCCUCCUGAAACAGAUGAGCUGCAUCAGGAGGGAGCUGAAGAUCAAAAGCAGGGUUCACGUUUAGAAAUUAGGGCUCUCGGCCGGAGCUCAAGCCGUGUGCCCUGUGCCCUGGUCCUGCUCUCGGGUGGCCCCACUAGGAGGGCUUUUGGGGUCUCAGCUGGUCACUCAGGGCCUCCCGAUGAAGCGCCAGGGUCCAGGCUGCUCCAGGAUGGACCGCAGUGUCACCUCAACCACUGCAGGCUGUCAGGGGUGGCCCUCUGGCUGAGCAGAGGUUCUCCCUGUGACCCGGCCUGAUGACCUGAGGCCAAAGGGGCCCUGGCCGGCCGGUAAAGGCUUAUGGGGAGGCCAGGGGGCUGGAGAGGCCUCACGAAGCCUCAUCUGGGCAGAGCAGGUCAGCACUCACUGCCCUGGGCCGGCCGGGCUCUGCUGACCGCUGGCCCCAGCCCCCCACGCCAGUUCCUCCUUGACCGCCUGCCCCUCUGAGCCUUUACUGGAGCCGCUCCUGGGCCAGGCGGACCCCGUCCAGGCUCUUGGUCAGGCUUGUCUCGUUGAUCCCUCAGGGAGGCUCUGUGAAAUAGGUACCAGUGGCCUGGUUUCCAGGGGCGUGAGCAGACACAGGUGCAGGGAAAUUCAAGCCUCACUUGCUGCCUCUGAACCCAGCGAGCUCUCUGUGUCGACACCCACCACCCUCAGACUGGGUAAUGGGUAACGGGACUCCGGUUGGGCUGUGGAGGCACGGUGGGAAACUGGUUGGCAGAAGGUCCUUGAGCAAAGGGUCCUCCUGAUGUCCUGGGACCCCUCACCAUGUAAGACGUUCCACCCACUCCGAGGGGACGAUGGUGGCACCGACAGAGGCUGAUGGACACUGAACCUGGGGCGGAGCCCACCUUCUCCUCUGGAGACUUCCCCAAACCGGUCUUGCAGGUGGGGGAGUGGGGGGGCGGGAGGGGCCCUCCUGGUGG